GGCCUGUUGUUUAUGAUUUCAGGUCUGACCUGCCCGCUGAGUAGUUAAAUGGCCGCGGUAUCUUGACCGUGCAAAGGUAGCAUAGUCAUUAGUUUUUUAAUUGAAAGCUUGUAUGAAGGGUUUGAUGAGAAAGUGGCUGUCUCUAUAAAAAUUUAUUAAAAUUUUAUUUUUGAGUGAAAAAGCUCAAAUUUUUAUAUAAGACGAGAAGACCCUGUAGAGUUUUAUAGAUAAUUAGAUGUUUAGUAUUUUGGUAUUUUUGUUUAAACUUAAAAUUUAUUUAUUUUGUUGGGGUGAUAGGAAAAUUUAAGAAACUUUUCUUUAUUGGUAUAUUAAUGUGUAGAUUUAUGAUCCUAGGUUAAGAUUAAAAGAUUAAAUUACCUCAGGGAUAACAGCGUAAUUUUUUUUAGAGUUCUUAUCGAAAAAAAAGAUUGCGACCUCGAUGUUGGAUUAAAAUUAAUUACUGGUGUAGAAGCUAGUAAAUUGGGUCUGUUCGACCUUUAAAAUUUUACAUGAUCUGAGUUUAAACCGGUGUGAG
rnacentral:rRNA from 1 species